rnacentral:rRNA from 1 species
GUGGAUUAGAUACCCUGGUAGUCCACGCCGUAAACGAUGGGUACUAGGUGUAGGGGGUAUCGACUCCCCCUGUGCCGCCGUUAACACAAUAAGUACCCCGCCUGGGGAGUACGGUCGCAAGAUUAAAACUCAAAGGAAUUGACGGGGGCCCGCACAAGCAGCGGAGCAUGUGGUUUAAUUCGAAGCAACGCGAAGAACCUUACCUAGACUUGACAUCUCCUGAAUUACCCUUAAUCGGGGAAGCCCUUCGGGGCAGGAAGACAGGUGGUGCAUGGCCGUCGCCAGCU